ACGAGUGGCGGACGGGUGAGUAACACGUGGGUAACCUGCCCUUAAGUGGGGGAUAACAUUUGGAAACAGAUGCUAAUACCGCAUAAAUCCAAGAACCGCAUGGUUCUUGGCUGAAAGAUGGCGUAAGCUAUCGCUUUUGGAUGGGCCCGCGGCGUAUUAGCUAGUUGGUGAGGUAACGGCUCACCAAGGCAAUGAUACGUAGCCGAACUGAGAGGUUGAUCGGCCACAUUGGGACUGAGACACGGCCCAAACUCCUACGGGAGGCAGCAGUAGGGAAUCUUCCACAAUGGACGCAAGUCUGAUGGAGCACCGCCGCGUGAGUGAAAAAGGCUUUCGGGUCGUAAAACUCUGUUGUUGGAGAGAAGAUGGUCGCAGAGUAACUGUUGUCGGCGUGACGGUAUCCACCAAAAGCCCCGGCUACUACGUGCCACAGCCCGGUAAUACGUAGGUGGCAGCGUUGUCCGGAUUUAUGGGCGUAACACGCAGGCGGUUUUUUAAGUCUGAUGUGAAAGCCCUCGGCUUAACCGAGGAAGUGCAUCGGAAACUGGGAAACUUGAGUGCAGAAGAGGACAGUGGAACUCCAUGUGUAGCGGUGAAAUGCGUAGAUAUAUGGAAGAACACCAGUGGCGAAGGCGGCUGUCUGGUCUGUAACUGACGCUGAGGCUCGAAAGCAUGGGUAGCGAACAGGAUUAGAUACCCUGGUAGUCCAUGCCGUAAACGAUGAAUGCUAGGUGUUGGAGGGUUUCCGCCCUUCAGUGCCGCAGCUAACGCAUUAAGCAUUCCGCCUGGGGAGUACGACCGCAAGGUUGAAACUCAAAGGAAUUGACGGGGGCCCGCACAAGCGGUGGAGCAUGUGGUUUAAUUCGAAGCAACGCGAAGAACCUUACCAGGUCUUGACAUCUUUUGAUCACCUGAGAGAUCAGGUUUCCCCUUCGGGGGCAAAAUGACAGGUGGUGCAUGGUUGUCGUCAGCUCGUGUCGUGAGAUGUUGGGUUAAGUCCCGCAACGAGCGCAACCCUUAUGACUAGUUGCCAGCAUUUAGUUGGGCACUCUAGUAAGACUGCCGGUGACAAACCGGAGGAAGGUGGGGAUGACGUCAAAUCAUCAUGCCCCUUAUGACCUGGGCUACACACGUGCUACAAUGGAUGGUACAACGAGUUGCGAGACCGCGAGGUCAAGCUAAUCUCUUAAAGCCGUUCUCAGUUCGGACUGUAGGCUGCAACUCGCCUACACGAAGUCGGAAUCGCUAGUAAUCGCGGAUCAGCACGCCGCGGUGAAUACGUUCCCGGGCCUUGUACACACCGCCCGUCACACCAUGAGAGUUUGUAACACCCGAAGCCGGUGGCGUAACCCUUUUAGGGAGCGAGCCGUCUAAGGUGGGACAAAUGAUUAGGGUGAAGUCGUAACAAGGUAGCCGUAGGAGAACC
rnacentral:rRNA from 1 species